rnacentral:rRNA from 1 species
AGAUCGAACUGUAGAGUUUGAUCCUGGCUCAGAUUGAACGCUGGCGGCAUGCCUUACACAUGCAAGUCGAACGGUAACAGGUCUUCGGAUGCUGACGAGUGGCGAACGGGUGAGUAAUACAUCGGAACGUGCCCGAUCGUGGGGGAUAACGGAGCGAAAGCUUUGCUAAUACCGCAUACGAUCUACGGAUGAAAGCGGGGGAUCUUCGGACCUCGCGCGGACGGAGCGGCCGAUGGCAGAUUAGGUAGUUGGUGGGAUAAAAGCUUACCAAGCCGACGAUCUGUAGCUGGUCUGAGAGGAUGAUCAGCCACACUGGGACUGAGACACGGCCCAGACUCCUACGGGAGGCAGCAGUGGGGAAUUUUGGACA